CCUUAAGGACGUCUUUAGUUAAGAUACAAUAAGAGGCGUCUUUACGGGACACGCGUCGCCAUAGAAGUCUUCUACUCUCUCUCUAACCUGAGCAUUGAUUCUCUGAAACUUGAUUUCUUCUCCCCUGUCCAUGGCCAAUUCCCUUCUGAUGCUCAAGCGGAUGAUCUCUUUUGCGACGGAGGGUUUGACUUCGGGUACAAAAACAAGAAGAGGAUUGGGUGGUUGUGGCGGCACUAACAGUUUCUGGGCAUGGAACGGCUUCAAUCAACAGAGGAGGAAGAAAAACAACUCUUCCGCGAUAGACGCAAUCAACGCAACUAUGGAUCGUCUUAUUCAGUCGAUGUGAUCCCGAUUUCGCCGAUCAGCUCAUCAACCGCUCCAACAUCAACUUCAAGGAAUGCCAUCAACCUCUUGUCUUAAGCAAGGGCCAGUGCCAAUGGACAAUGUUCACAUAACACCCGAAGCAACAUAUGAAGCUGUGGUUGCAGACCCGAAGCUGGUCAUGGGUUCAUUGGAGAGACUACACUCUCAAGUGGGUAAUAAAUUCAUGUUCCGAUUAUAGGAGGAAAAGAUUUGGACUUGCACAAGCUUUUCAUUGAGGUAACCUCUUGUGAUACUUCAUGAAAGGAGAUGGAAAGAAGUUACUGCAUCAUUUGCCUUUCCUCCAACAGCAACAAAUGCAUCAUAUGUCUUGCGCAAAUACUACUUCUCACUCCUUAGCAACUAUGAGCAGGUCUAUUUCUUCAGAUCCAAUGACAAGAUUCCUCCAGGUUUUGCUUUGCUUAACAACAAACACAUUUUCUUGAGUUUACUUCUCUGUUUGUAAUAAGUUCAUUGUACAAUAUUCAUACAUAUUCUAUGAUGUUUGUAACUUUUUUUACUAAGAGAUCUCUAUAAAUCCUACCAAUAAUCAAAAUUUUUGUGAUUGUC